rnacentral:rRNA from 1 species
UACGUAGGGCGCAAGCGUUAUCCGGAAUUAUUGGGCGUAAAGAGCUCGUAGGCGGUUUGUCGCGUCUGCCGUGAAAGUCCGGGGCUCAACUCCGGAUCUGCGGUGGGUACGGGCAGACUAGAGUGAUGUAGGCGAGACUGGAAUUCCUGGUGUAGCGGUGAAAUGCGCAGAUAUCAGGAGGAACACCGAUGGCGAAGGCAGGUCUCUGGGCAUUAACUGACGCUGAGGAGCGAAAGCAUGGGGAGCGAACAGG